rnacentral:tRNA from 1 species
GCGCGGUUUUGUCUCCCCGUGUCCCUCCCUGUCGCCCGGUGUCCUUAAGCGGGUCUGACUACGAAUCAGAAGGUCGCAGGUUCGAGUCCUGCCGAGCGCG